UACUCGAGUGGCGAACGGGUGAGUAACACGUGGGUGAUCUGCCCUGCACUUCGGGAUAAGCUUGGGAAACUGGGUCUAAUACCGGAUAGGAGCCAUCUUUAGUGUGGUGGUUGGAAAGUUUUUUCGGUGUAGGAUGAGCUCGCGGCCUAUCAGCUUGUUGGUGGGGGUAAUGGCCUACCAAGGCGGCGACGGGUAGCCGGCCUGAGAGGGUGUACGGCCACAUUGGGACUGGGAUACGGCCCAG
rnacentral:rRNA from 1 species